rnacentral:tRNA from 2 species
GGAACCGUAGCCAAGUGGUAAGGCAUAAGUCUGCAAAACUUCUAUCCGUCGGUUCGAAUCCGACCGGUUCCU